GCAAAAUACGUUCAUUGUAAACAUCAUGCCAGCCUCCAGUUCUACUCCCCAGUGGCAAUCGGUGUUACCUGUGUUCCUUUUCCACCUAGGCAUAUAGAUAAAUAUAGCUUUAUUUUUCUUACACAAAUGGGGCACGGAGGUAAAGUGCCUCCCAAGUCAGAAACAAGGAGCAAGAAUUUGCCAACAAAAUUCACUUUGGGGAUCUGGGAUGGAGAUAGGCAGCUGGUAAGAAGAGAGAUUGAGGAUUACGGUCACGCUGGCAAAACUAAUACCUACAACCAGGCCAACCUUCCAAGUAUCCCUGUCCCCAACAUCAUUUGUCAAUGCUGAUUAUCCCGAACCCCCUCCUACCUUACUCCUCCUGAGCCUUUGGAGUGUCAGAGUCAAUAUAGUCAACUAGAAGAUGGCUGCACAAUGAAGAAGGAUAGGAGGUUCUGGAUUAGAAAAGCCAAGGACAGUAGAUGGAUGUUGAACGCUGGGAUUUGUCAGUGGAGUGCUAGAAGCCAGGAUACAAAGUGAUGGCAGGGAUCUCUCCUCCUAGGGAAGCUUCUCUGAUAUUCUUUCUAUUCCAGCCCCCUGGCUGGGUAGGUACACCUCCUUAAUGUUCCCACAGCAGUCUGUGUUCCCCUCUACUGUGACACUUCUCACUUUGUUUUAUGUUUGUCUGCUCCUGUACUGGUUGGCUUCUCUGAACUGGGAGCUCCUGGCAAGGUAGGGACCACCUUUAUUUUAUUUUAUUUUAUUUUAGAGAGAGAGAGAGAGAGCACGAGGCGGGGAGAGGAGCAGAGGGAGAGAGAGAGAAUCUUAAGCAGGCUCCAUGCUCCGGGCAGAGCCCGAUGCAGGGCUCAAUCCCAUGACGCUGGGAUCACGAUCUGAGCUGAAAUCAAGAGUCAGACGCUCAACUGAUUGAGCCACCCAGGCGCCCUGGCGCUAUCAUCUCUAUCCUUGUCUCCCCAGCAUCCAGUUCAGCACCUGGCCCGCAGCAGACAGUGAAUGUUGAUUUGAGCAAAUGAACUAAUAGAAAGAAAUGUCUCCUGUAAUUGCUUCUUACCAAUCUAGCCAACAACGGCAGCGUUGUGGAUGGAGGCACCAGAGAACACAUCAUCUCUGGCUUUUUGCUGCAGAUCUACAUGGAGAAUCACACAUGGGGCAACAAAGAUUCUCAAGGCCAGAUCUCGCAGAAAUGUCUGAAAGGAAACUGUAAAAAAUGAAUAUGUACGGGUUUUUUGUUGUUGUUGCAGCAUUGUCUAAUAU